GACCCGACCGAUGUGAACACACUGCUGCGCUAUGACGAAUGGUCUGCCGGAUCGCCUAGUGAAUUUCGACUUUUCCCCGGUUUUCCGCUAGCGUUCGGUUUGUUUUUUUUUUGUCGCUCUCGCCCGUCGCAACCGCGCUCGCCGCGUCGGGCCGGCCCUGAACACCGCACCGAACGCACGAGCGACCGCCGCCGAACCGCGGGACUGUCGCCGACGUUGCACGUUAUUUUAUUAUAUUUUUUUUACUGACGUUUACGCAUAGCGUGUGUCGCCAUUUUGUGUUGUGUUGCGCUGUAGUGCGCGCGUGUGUACGAAUACAAAAAAAUAUUUAACAACGGUCCGUAGCUGUGCCGGGCGUUUUUCUCGCACGCGUCCCGACGCCGAGACGACGACCGUGGUGGUCCG